CUGGAAGAAUCUGCCUGCCCCACAGCUCCACCCCCACCCCGGGAGGGUGGGGAAUCCAACCGAGACUGAAGGCACAGCCCUGGGACCUAUACCCCUUGCUCUAGAGUGGACCAGUGGGGGAUGCAGAGCUGGACGCAGAAGUUACCUAUCACCGAGGCAAAAGGAAGGCUUCCCCAAGGCAGUGACGUCUCAGCUGUACUCUGCCCGUUAAGCUGGACUUGGCCUGAUGCAGGCAAAGGCAACCGGAGCAGCAUGGUCCCCGAUCACACCUGUUCGACGGUGAGCGGAGCCCCUGACAUGUGGGCUGGCCAGGGCCAGCGGCAGGAGGGAGCUUGGUGAGUGCCCGGAAUCCGCAGGCCGAUGCCGCCCCCGGAGAAGCGCCAGG